AACGCACAUUGCGCUCCCUGGUAUUCCGGAGAGCAUGCUUGUUUGAGUAUCAGUAAACACCUCAACUCCUUUAUUGUAGUUGGACUUGAGCUAUCCCAACAGGACUUUUUGUUCCUGGCGGGAGGCUUGAAAUGCAGGUGCAGCUGGACUUUCUUCUGAGCUAUAAGCAUAUUUAUUUAAUCCCUUAACACGGAUUAUUACUUUUUUGCUGCAGCUAACAUAAAGGUUGAAUUUCCAUUGAGCUGACUGGUGCAGGAAUUUGGCAAGGAAUUUUUUUAAUGACUUGUUAAACUCGAUCUCAAAUCAAGUAAGACUACCCGCUGAACUUAA
rnacentral:misc_RNA from 1 species